CAGCUAAGUGGCGCACGGGUGAGUAAUGUAUAGAUAACCUGCCCUUAAGAAAGGAAUAACAGUUGGAAACGACUGCUAAUGCCCUAUAUGCCUUUAAUACAUAAGUAUGCAAGGGAAACGCUUUAGUGCUUAAGGAUGGGUCUGUAUGGUAUCAGCUUGUUGGCGAGGUAAUGGCUCACCAAGGCUAUGACGCCUAACUGGUUUGAGAGGAUGAUCAGUCACACUGGAACUGAGACACGGUCCAGACUCCUACGGGAGGCAGCAGUGGGGAAUAUUGCACAAUGGACGAAAGUCUGAUGCAGCAACGCCGCGUGGAGGAUGACACAUUUCGGUGCGUAAACUCCUUUUAUAUAGGAAGAUAAUGACGGUACUAUAUGAAUAAGCACCGGCUAACUCCGUGCCAGCAGCCGCGGUAAUACGGAGGGUGCAAGCGUUACUCGGAAUCACUGGGCGUAAAGAGCGUGUAGGCGGGUAUAUAAGUCAGAAGUGAAAUCCAAUAGCUCAACUAUUGAACUGCUUUUGAAACUGUAUACCUAGAAUGUGGGAGAGGUAGAUGGAAUUUCUGGUGUAGGGGUAAAAUCCGUAGAGAUCAGAAGGAAUACCGAUUGCGAAGGCGAUCUACUGGAACAUUAUUGACGCUGAGACGCGAAAGCGUGGGGAGCAAACAGGAUUAGAUACCCUGGUAGUCCACGCCCUAAACGAUGUACACUAGUUGUUGUGAGGCUCGACCUUGCAGUAAUGCAGUUAACACAUUAAGUGUACCGCCUGGGGAGUACGGUCGCAAGAUUAAAACUCAAAGGA
rnacentral:rRNA from 1 species